GAUGAACGCUAGCGGCAGGCCUAACACAUGCAAGUCGAGGGAGAAGCCUUUCGGGGCAGAAACCGGCGCACGGGUGCGUAACGCGUAUGCAACCUACCUUUCACAGGGGGAUAGCCCGAAGAAAUUUGGAUUAAUACCCCAUAAUAUUGUUUGAUGGCAUCAUUGGACAAUUAAAACUGAGGUGGUGAAAGAUGGGCAUGCGUCCUAUUAGCUAGUUGGAGUGGUAACGGCACCCCAAGGCUACGAUAGGUAGGGGUCCUGAGAGGGAGAUCCCCCACACUGGUACUGAGACAGGGACCAGACUCCUACGGGAGGCAGCAGUGAGGAAUAUUGGUCAAUGGUCGGAAGACUGAACCAGCCAUGCCGCGUGCAGGAAGAAUGCCUUAUGGGUUGUAAACUGCUUUUAUAUGGGAAGAAUAAGGUGUACGUGUACAUUGAUGACGGUACCAUAUGAAUAAGCAUCGGCUAACUCCGUGCCAGCAGCCGCGGUAAUACGGAGGAUGCGAGCGUUAUUCGGAAUCAUUGGGUUUAAAGGGUCUGUAGGCGGGCUAUUAAGUCAGGGGUGAAAGGUUUCAGCUUAACUGAGAAAUUGCCUUUGAUACUGGUAGUCUUGAAUAUCUGUGAAGUUCUUGGAAUGUGUAGUGUAGCGGUGAAAUGCUUAGAUAUUACACAGAACACCGAUUGCGGAGGCAGGGGACUAACAGACGAUUGACGCUGAGAGACGAAAGCGCGGGGAGCGAACAGG
rnacentral:rRNA from 1 species